rnacentral:rRNA from 1 species
AACGAACGCUGGCGGCAGGCCUAACACAUGCAAGUCGAGCGCAGCCUUCGGGCUUCGCGGCGGACGAGUGAGUAACGCGUGGGAACGUGCCCUUUGGUACGGAAUAUCCCCGGGAAACUGGGAGUACUACCGUAUGUGGUCGAGAGACGAACGAUUUAUCGCCAAAGGAUCGGCCCGCGUUGGAAUAGGUAGUUGGUGGGGUGAUGGCCUCCCAAGCCGAGGGUCCAUAGCUGGUUUGAGAGGAUGAUCAGCCACACUGGGACUGAGACACGGCCCAGACGCCGACGGGAGGCAGCAGGGGGGAAUCUUAGACAAUGGGGGAAACCCUGAUGUAGCCAUGCCGCGUGAUCGAUGAAGGCCUUAGGGUGGUAAAGAUCUUUCAGUGGGGAAGAUAAUGACGGUACCAACAGAAGAAGCCCCGGCUAACUCCGUGCCAGCCGCCGCAGUAAUAC